rnacentral:lncRNA from 1 species
CUCUAACCUUUAAGUCGUCGUUCCUAACUAUCAAAUCUCUUAUCACCUCACUGUCUGUGUACUCCUCGCUAGAGUCCAUCGUCUCUUGGGUCAAGGAAUUACUAUCUUGACUUUCGUCAUCCAUCCUAUGACCACAAUAAACGAGACAACAUUAGUACUGAAAUAAAAUAUAUUCAUCGAUAAAAUGAAGUAAUAUUUUAUUUAGUACAACUAAAACUUGAUGGAUCUCUUCAACUCAUCAUAUCCUAUAACUUCUCACCAGAGUACUUCGUCUCUUGGUUCACUGAAUAUCUAUCUCAACUUUCGUCCUUCAUUCUACUAAGGUGAUAACCUAGGUUUCGC